rnacentral:rRNA from 1 species
UACGUAGGGUGCAAGCGUUGUCCGGAAUUAUUGGGCGUAAAGAGCUCGUAGGCGGUCUGUCGCGUCUGCUGUGAAAACUCGGGGCUUAACCCCGAGCCUGCAGUGGAUACGGGCAGACUAGAGGUAGGUAGGGGAGAAUGGAAUUCCCGGUGUAGCGGUGAAAUGCGCAGAUAUCAGGAGGAACACCGGUGGCGAAGGCGGGUCUCUGGGCAGUAACUGACGCUGAGGAGCGAAAGCGUGGGGAGCGAACAGG